rnacentral:rRNA from 1 species
GACGAACGCUGGCGGCGUGCUUAACACAUGCAAGUCGAACGAAGCACUUUUAUUUGAUUUCUUCGGAAUGAAGAUUUUAGUGACUGAGUGGCGGACGGGUGAGUAACGCGUGGGUAACCUGCCUCAUACAGGGGGAUAACAGUUAGAAAUGACUGCUAAUACCGCAUAAGACCACAGCACCGCAUGGUGCAGGGGUAAAAACUCCGGUGGUAUGAGAUGGACCCGCGUCUGAUUAGGUAGUUGGUGGGGUAACGGCCUACCAAGCCGACGAUCAGUAGCCGACCUGAGAGGGUGACCGGCCACAUUGGGACUGAGACACGGCCCAAACUCCUACGGGAGGCAGCAGUGGAGAAUAUUGCACAAUGGGGGAAACCCUGAUGCAGCGACGCCGCGUGAGCGAUGAAGUAUUUCGGUAUGUAAAGCUCUAUCAGCAGGGAAGAAAAUGACGGUACCUGACUAAGAAGCACCGGCUAAAUACGUGCCAGCCGCCGCCGUAA